UACGGAGGGGGCUAGCGUUGUUCGGAAUUACUGGGCGUAAAGCGCGCGUAGGCGGCUUUGUAAGUUAGAGGUGAAAGCCCGGAGCUUAACUCCGGAACUGCCUUUAAGACUGCAUCGCUAGAAUCGUGGAGAGGUGAGUGGAAUUCCGAGUGUAGAGGUGAAAUUCGUAGAUAUCGGGAGGAACACCUGUGGCGAAGGCGGCCGACUGGACGAUCACUGACACUGAGACGCGAAAGCGUGGGUAGCAAACAGG
rnacentral:rRNA from 1 species